GUGCUCGCUCAGGCAGCACAAACACUAAAACUGGAACGAUACAGAGAGGAUUCGCAUGGCCCCUGCGCAAGGAUGGCACACAAAUUCCUGAAGCACUCCAUAUUUUU
ensembl:snRNA U6 U6 spliceosomal RNA